AAUUCAAUUAUGCUUAAGUUUUAUUAAGUGAAGUCAACAAGUCAAAGUUUCUUAUUUUGAUAUUGGGUAAAAUUACCAAAUUACCCUUCUUUACCCUUAAAGGUUAAGGAAUCACUUGAGUCUUGGAUAAGCAUCUCAUUUGAAAGAAGACAAGGAGAGCUAAUUAGAGAGAGAUAGGGGAAGGAAAAACCUUGAAGCUUGGAUCUCCAUCUUCUUCAAGCUUAGACCUCUAAGAUAUUGGGUAUUCUAGGGAUUUUGACAAGGAGUAUUUGGGCGAGCUAAAUAUCUAAGAUUUGGAUAUUUUAGAGUAGUAAGGACAUGUGAAUAGCAUGAGCACAAGUGGUGGGGUCUCGAAUGUGACUUUUGAAACUAGGAGACUUAGUCCUAGUGUUGGAGCUUAUCACGAAUUUUUGUUUCUUUUGGAUAUUCCCUUUGACCCUUGUAUUUUUGGUAACCCGUUGUGCUUGUGAUGUAUUUUGGACAUACUACUCAUGAUUGUAAAUAUUUGU